GAGUUUGAUCUUGGCUCAGGAUGAACGCUGGCGGCGUGCCUAACACAUGCAAGUCGAACGGGAACCCUUGGAUUCGUCUGGGGGGGAGAGUGGCAAACGGGUGAGUAACACGUUGGUGACCUGCCCCAAAGAGGGGAAUAACCACUGGAAACGGUGGCUAAUACCCCAUGUGGUCUGUCGGUCGGACGGCAGAUUAAAGCGCCCCAUUAGGGGUUGCGCUUUGGGAGGGGCCUGCGGCCCAUCAGGUAGUUGGUAGGGUAAUGGCCUACAAGCGAUGACGGGUAGGGGGCGUGAGAGCGUGAUCCCCCACACUGGCACUGAGACACGGGCCAGACUCCUACGGGAGGCAGCAGUGAGGAAUAUUGCCCAAUGGACGCAAGUCUGAGGCAGCAACGCCGCGUGGGUGAUGAAGGCCUUGGUUGUAAAACCCUUUUCUGGGGACGAGAAAGGACGGUACCU
rnacentral:rRNA from 1 species